GAUGAACGCUGGCGGCGUGCCUAAUACAUGCAAGUCGAGCGAACGGACGAGAAGCUUGCUUCUCUGAUGUUAGCGGCGGACGGGUGAGUAACACGUGGAUAACCUACCUAUAAGACUUGGAUAACUUCGGGAAACCGGAGCUAAUACCGGAUAAUAUUUUGAACCGCAUGGUUCAAAAGUGAAAGACGGUCUUGCUGACACUUAUAGAUGGAUCCGCGGUGCAUUAGCUAGUUGGUAAGGUAACGGCUUACCAAGGCAACGAUGCAUAGCCGACCUGAGAGGGUGAUCGGCCACACUGGAACUGAGACACGGUCCAGACUCCUACGGGAGGCAGCAGUAGGGAAUAUUCGGCAAUGGGCGCAAGCCUGACGGAGCCACGCCGCGUGAGUGAUGAAGGUCUUCGGAUCGUAAAACUCUGUUAUUAGGGAAGAAAAUAUGUGUAAGUAACUGUGCACAUCUUGACGGUACCUAAACAGAAAGCCACGGCUAACUACGUG
rnacentral:rRNA from 1 species